GCCAUCCGACGGCGGCGGCGGAUCAACUUAAUAAUUAAAUCGGUCGCCAUCCCACGGUCUUUUAAUUUCGAAGACGACGACGACGACGAUCGAUCGACGACACUGCGCGUGCGCUUGCGGCGAGGGAAGGGGGAGGGGGAGGGGGAGGGAUCGGAGGCGUGCACGUGUUGAGUGCGUCGACCAACCAAAUUAAUCCGAUUUAGCUCCUCGUCGACGUACACUGCCUCCAACUCAAUUAAUCACGUCGCUUUAUUCUAUAUUACAUUAUAUUAUCCGGAUUGUUAUGAUGCCCUCAGCUCGAUCAGCUACGUAUCGAAAGCGCCGUGGUGGCGUGGUCGUUGUCUCCUGUGUACACCCAUUUACCAUUUGCCUCAUAUAUCUACUAUUUAGAAAGUAGAGUUAUCCAUUGUUCAUUUCGUCUGCACCUAUAUAUCGAGGGGCGGAGCUAAUUGACGAACGGGAGUUCUUAUGCACCCGAUCGGACACCAUAUGUGUACCCAUCUCAAUGCAAAUUUAGACACUCGUAACCAUUUAAACUCACUUUAUAACACUAAAAGACAAGGAGUCAUACCACUCUAUAUUUUGUUCUAUAUUUUAUUCUAACUCUGUCUCUGCCC
rnacentral:lncRNA from 1 species